rnacentral:rRNA from 1 species
UACGGAGGGCGCAAGAGUUGUUCGGAAUCACUGGGCGUAAAGCGCGUGUAGGCGGCUUUGCAAGUCGGGUGUGAAAUCACGAGGCUCAAACUCGGAACUGCACUCGAAACUGCCUGGCUCGAGUCCCGGAGAGGGUGGCGGAAGUCCCGGUGUAGGGGUGAAAUCCGUAGAUAUCGGGAGGAACACCAGUGGCGAAGGCGGCCACUUGGACGGUGACUGACGCUGAGACGCGAAAGCGUGGGGAGCAAACCGG